AUUCUCUCUAAGCCGCUGCCAACUGAGAGGUCUGUGAAAGGGUCUUCGCCUCCUGCUCUGGUUUUCCGACGUAGAGGGAUUGGCCUGCUGAGGACUGGCUGCCCCAGUGCCUGGAAUCUGAGGGAAAAUGGCAAGUGUGGAUGGUGAUUCCAGGCAUCUUCUCUCUGAGGUGGAACAUGAAGUAAGCCCUGGGCCUAUGAACAUCCAGUUUGAUUCAUCAGAUCUGAGAUCUAAAAGCACUGAGGCCGCGCGCAGGUUCCCGUCCUUGCACUGUCCCGGUCUCACCAGAUGGCGUCAUGAGAGGCCUUCUCACUUCCGGUUCCCAUGCCUUCCUUCAGUGGUUUGACAGAGAUGGCCUGGCAGUCGGAUGUCAGCACACCACCAGAAGUAGCGAGCACACUGCCACCUGGCCAACAGUAAUUCAGACAUCCGGUGUUAGAGAUUGUGAGGUGUCCUCGUUUAGAAAUGUUUAAGUGCAUAUAUUAGAAAAGUAUCUUAUCAGUAAGCUAUGACAGAAGUCAUUGUCUACUGCCGGCAGGAAGAAUACAAUUGUGAUGUAGGGGGGAUUAAAUCCAGGGGAGAGGCUCUGUCAGUGAAGUAUUUGUCACACAAACUUGAGCCCCCAUAUAAAAUCCAGGAGCUAUGGUGUGUACCUGUAACCACCACACUAGGGAGGCAGGGACAGAUGGCUUCUGGAGAGCAUUGGCUAGCGAGGCCAGCCAAAUUGAUGAGCUCCAGGCUGGUAAGAGACUGUCUCAAUAAAUAGCAAAUAAAUAAACAAACCAUCUCAAAUAUGCCACUAAAUGAGAGAGAGAGAGAGAGAGAGAGGUAGUUCAAUUAGAUACCUGAUGAUGACGUCUGGCCUUUUUAUACUUGUGCUCACAUAUUCUUAUGUACACCAGAAAAAAGAAUUUAACCCACAAAUUUUGUGUGAUCCUCCACUCAGAUCCCAGCGGCAACUCUGAGGUUUCUGGGUAGCAGAAUCUCACUGCCUUACAGCGUCAACCGGUGCCUGCGUGGGGUCAUAUACGUUGCUAAGAUUGAGUGACUAAAAUAUGUUUUCUUCCAGGGCUGAAAAACUACAUUAUAGUGUGUUCAUACAAUGAAAUAUUUUUCAUCUAAUAAAAAGGAGGUGGGCUUAUGACAUACCAAAAUGAAACAACUCUUCGAGUUAUUUUGUUAAAAGAAAAAAGUGAGUUGCAGAGCAGUAUGUAUAGUCUGCCACCAUUCAUGUAAAGUUGCUCGCUGUAUUGUAGACAAUACAGUAUGUGCAGAUGGAGUCGGGAAGGCUUGGGUGGCUGAGAGGAGCUGCACAGCUGAGGUAAGGGAGCCUGGUGCAUAGAGUUAGUAGGUCCUCAGUACCCAGUCAGUGACUACCCUCGUUGCUAUCAGCAGAAUGUUAGUCUAGAUAAGAGCUGCAGCUAUUUCCAGCCCAGGAGAUAAGAAAGAUUGCAGUGAGCUGAUCCUGGCGGUAUUGUUAUCAUUUCUUCCGAUAGUUGAUGUUUCAGUUUUUCUUGUAGCUAAAACUGGUAGUGUGAAAUUUAUCCCUGAAGAAAGUGUCGUUAACAGUGGCUAUCAGAAGAAACAGAGAAAUCGAUAAUUGUGAUUCUCACUGGUAUAUUUCAGUAUUAGUGAAUGUAGUCCACUUACAAAUGCUGACUGAAUGCUUAGAGUUUUUCUUGAAGCUUCUAAGUUCUGUGAUAAAUAAUUGGCCACUGUGACAAUGAGUCAUAGGUCAUUAAAGUGCAUUCCAUUAUGACAAGUCGGCAGUUCAGUUCCUUGAAAUUUUAAUCUAACAGGGUAUAUUAAAUGGAAAUACAUUUUCUAUAAUGAAACUUCAAAAAGGAAGGAGUCCGCUAUUUUCAAUCCUGGCGUAACUGGUAAGAAAGGAGAGCAACCACUUGUAAGAACUUAGCAGUCCUUGUUGCUUCUGCUUGUGGGAUAAUCUCUGCUGGAGAAAGCAGAGACUAUUAGAUGAGAAAAAGUAUGUGAGUACUUUAAGACAUUGUUCCUGCUGAGGGAUAGAGUCUCCAACUUUCCAUGUAAAUAAAAUGUAGACAACU
rnacentral:lncRNA from 1 species